rnacentral:rRNA from 1 species
GUGAGGAAUCUUGCGCAAUGGGGGCAACCCUGACGCAGCAACGCCGCGUGAGUGAGGAAGGUCUUCGGAUCGUAAAGCUCUGUCAGUUGGGAAGAACUACCCAAGGGUGAAUAUCCCUUGGGCUUGACGGUACCAACAGAGGAAGCACCGGCUAACUCCGUGCCAGCAGCCGCGGUAAUACGGGGGGUGCAAGCGUUGUUCGGAAUUAUUGGGCGUAAAGAGCGUGUAGGCGGCCGGAUGUGUCAGAUGUGAAAGCCCUGGGCUUAACCCAGGAAGUGCAUUUGAAACUGUCCGGCUUGAGUAGGGGAGAGGGAAGUGGAAUUCCUGGUGUAGAGGUGAAAUUCGUAGAUAUCAGGAGGAACACCGGUGGCGAAGGCGACUUCCUGGCCCUAUACUGACGCUGAGACGCGAGAGCGUGGGUAGCAAACAGGAUUAGAUACCCCUGUAGUCC